rnacentral:rRNA from 1 species
CUACGGGGGGCAGCAGUGGGGAAUAUUGGACAAUGGGCGAAAGCCUGAUCCAGCCAUGCCGCGUGUGUGAAGAAGGCCUUCGGGUUGUAAAGCACUUUCAGUGGGGAAGAAAGCCUUGGGGCUAAUACCCUCGAGGAAGGACAUCACCCACAGAAGAAGCACCGGCUAACUCCGUGCCAGCAGCCGCGGUAAUACGGAGGGUGCGAGCGUUAAUCGGAAUUACUGGGCGUAAAGCGCGCGUAGGCGGUCUGAUAAGCCGGUUGUGAAAGCCCCGGGCUCAACCUGGGAACGGCAUCCGGAACUGUCAGGCUAGAGUGCAGGAGAGGAAGGUAGAAUUCCCGGUGUAGCGGUGAAAUGCGUAGAGAUCGGGAGGAAUACCAGUGGCGAAGGCGGCCUUCUGGACUGACACUGACGCUGAGGUGCGAAAGCGUGGGUAGCAAACAGGAUUAGAUACCCCUGUAGUC